UUCAUAUUGGGUAGGGGAGCGUUCUGUAAGCCGUUGAAGGUGCAUUGUAAAGUGUGCUGGAGGUAUCAGAAGUGCGAAUGCUGACAUGAGUAACGAUAAAGGGAGUGAAAAACUCCCUCGCCGGAAGAUCAAGGGUUCCUGUCCAACGUUAAUCGGGGCAGGGUAAGUCGACCCCUAAGGCGAGGCCGAAAGGCGUAGUCGAUGGGAAACGGGUUAAUAUUCCCGUACUUCUUAUAAUUGCGAUGGAGGGACGGAGAAGGCUAGGUGAGCCUGGCGACGGUUGUCCAGGUCCAAGUAUGUAGGCUGAUGAAUUAGGCAAAUCCGGUUCAUCUUAAGGCUGAGAUACGAUGUCGAGCUACUACGGUAGUGAAGUCAUUGAUGCCAUGCUUCCGGGAAAAGCUUCUAAGCUUCAGAUUAUAAGAAAUCGUACCCCAAACCGACACAGGUGAUCAGGUAGAGAAUACCAAGGCGCUUGAGAGAACUCGGGUGAAGGAACUAGGCAAAAUGGUACCGUAACUUCGGGAGAAGGUACGCUCCUAGCGGUGAUGAGACUUGCUCUCUAAGCUGCCGGGAGUCGCAGAUACCAGGUGGCUGCAACUGUUUAUUAAAAACACAGCACUGUGCAAAAUCGAAAGAUGACGUAUACGGUGUGACGCCUGCCCGGUGCCGGAAGGUUAAUUGAUGGGGUUAGACUUCGGUCGAAGCUCUUGAUCGAAGCCCCGGUAAACGGCGGCCGUAACUAUAACGGUCCUAAGGUAGCGAAAUUCCUUGUCGGGUAAGUUCCGACCUGCACGAAUGGCGUAAUGAUGGCCACGCUGUCUCCACCCGAGACUCAGUGAAAUUGAAAUCGCAGUGAAGAUGCUGUGUACCCGCGGCUAGACGGAAAGACCCCGUGAACCUUUACUAUAGCUUGGCACUGAACAUUGACCCUACAUGUGUAGGAUAGGUGGGAGACGUUGAAGCAACCGCGCCAGUGGUUGUGGAGUCAAUCUUGAAAUACCACCCUUGUAUGCUUGAUGUUCUAACGUUGGCCCCUUAUCGGGGUUACGGACAGUGCCUGGUGGGUAGUUUGACUGGGGCGGUCUCCUCCCAAAGAGUAACGGAGGAGCACGAAGGUGGGCUAAUCACGGUCGGACAUCGUGAGGUUAGUGCAAUGGCAUAAGCCCGCUUGACUGCGAGAAUGACAAUUCGAGCAGGUGCGAAAGCAGGUCAUAGUGAUCCGGUGGUUCUGAAUGGAAGGGCCAUCGCUCAACGGAUAAAAGGUACUCCGGGGAUAACAGGCUGAUACCGCCCAAGAGUUCAUAUCGACGGCGGUGUUUGGCACCUCGAUGUCGGCUCAUCACAUCCUGGGGCUGAAGUCGGUCCCAAGGGUAUGGCUGUUCGCCAUUUAAAGUGGUACGCGAGCUGGGUUUAGAACGUCGUGAGACAGUUCGGUCCCUAUCUGCCGUGGGCGUUGGAUGAUUGAGAGGGGCUGCUCCUAGUACGAGAGGACCGGAGUGGACGAACCGCUGGUGUUCGGGUUGUAUCGCCAGAUGCAUUGCCCGGUAGCUAAGUUCGGAAUCGAUAACCGCUGAAAGCAUCUAAGCGGGAAGCGAGCCUCAAGAUGAGUCAUCCCUAGACCUUUAAGGUCUCUAAAGGGUUGUUGAAGACUACAACGUUGAUAGGUCAGGUGUGUAAGUGCUGCGAGGCAUUGAGCUAACUGAUACUAAUUGCCCGUGAGGCUUAACCAUACAACACCCAAGGGGUUU
rnacentral:rRNA from 1 species